AUCAAACCAAAGUGGGGAAGGGAAGACUUGCUGUGACUGCUUUUGGAAGUGUGUAGAGACACUAGUGGUGGAGGGGAAAUGCAUCUGCAUGAGUCGAUGGAUUCAAUUAGUACGGAAGGUACAGACUACAUGGAUUGACAUCCAGAUCCCAAGACGCCUGAAGAUUCCACCGGGUGUCUUGAAUACCAGAAAGACCGUGGACUUCCGAGUCUAAAGACCCUUUCCGGGACUGGUGGGCAGCCCGCCGGCGGGUAUCCGAUGGUUGACGGGAUCCAGAGACGGAUGGAAGACAACAGGGUUACGGGCCCAGGCGAGAUCUCUUUAACUGGUGGCAGAGACUGUGCUUUGACGGAGAAGAGCGAAACUACGAGCUGUGGAAGACAAAGCUGUUAGCUCACAUGCGGCUGCUGGGGCUAAAAGAAACUAUUCUCACAGAACCCGCCACGGGGAACGUGGAGGUGGCAGAUAUUCCGAAGAACGAAGAGCAAUUUUGACCUUUUAUGGAUGUUGUUGCAUUCCUUGCCUGUGCGCUCUCAUUUUGAAACUUAACGCCCCGACCUCACCCACGAAGGAACAUGUGGUGCAGAUGUGUCCUUUAAAAGACAGAUCGUGAGAUGGUGUCGGGAAUUGUAGGCAGAAAUAACCAGUGCCACUUCCAUCCUGCAAUGUGUCCAAGAUUCGUGACGGAUGGCCAAGAGUACACUGGAUUUAAAUGGUCUACUUUCUGAAUUUUUUUGUUUUGUCUUUAUGUAAAUGUUGAUGUACAUGUUUGUGUAUGACGUAAACAUACACCACAGAACUAAAAUCAUUGCAUUUUUAUUAAAUAUGUUUCUCUCAUAACAUUUUCACUGAUGCUAAUUUGGUGUUUCAAUGUAAUCAUCUUGAGGCCACCUGAGGUUGAAAUACAUUUUGUAGUAUCCUCUCUGCUGUUGGAAAGACAUGUGUUCCUUUCUUAUGAACAGGCACUUCUUCAGUCUGGCAACUUUUGGAAUGUACCAAAGAUUGAGAUUCAGCAUCUGCUGGUUCAAUGUAAACCUCUUGUGCAGAAGAUGCUUCCUGCAACAUCUGUAAUUAAUGUCAAAAAGUAAGGUUCAAAGUUUAUAAAAUGAGAAAAAAUGUCAAGAUAAAGCACAGGUUUAUUCCAAUCAUUUUCAUGGUGCACAAAAUUAUUUUUGAUAAUGUGAAAACAAGUCUACUGGAGAGCACAAUUUAUUUCAAUUAGCCCUUGAUUUCAACUUUAGAUGAGGUUUUAAAGCAGGAUAUGUUGAUAAAAUCAUAUGAAAAUAUGAUAACAAAGGAAAGAGUUUAAUUAGCUGAUCUCGUUCAAAGUCUUACAAAUUUUGUUCACUUCUGGUUUAUCACUCAUAAAGCCACACGAUGCUGCUAAGUUGUAGUUUUUGCUUAUUCGACAUCGAAGUCUCCCAAGAAGUAAACAAAUUUACGAGUAAGAGAAUUUACAUGAGUUAGCAGUUGGAAAAUAUUCUGUGAGUGACUAGGAUGUAGUACCGCAUGUUUUAAUAAUAUGUAGUAUUAUAUUAAAAUUAAAAACCGUGCACACCUCAGAACAUGAACCUGCCUGCAUUUGUAAAGAGCCAGAUAUACAGUACUUCCUUGUGAUACUGUUCGGGUGGAGUCACGGGCAUAUUUUGCAUAGCUGUCAUUAAAUUGUGAAAUUAUAAAAGGUUUGUAUACAAUAUUAUCCUGUUAUUUUAGUUGAGAAUGUUCAUACGAUUUGCUGUCAUAAAACAUUUUUCGCCAAGAUCGAUUCAACGUUUUAUUCAACCAUGUCAACAGUGUUCAAACUUUUCAGGAAAUUAAAGAUGAUCAACAUACCUUUGCAACUCGUCUUUUAACAAAAGCUUUUUGCAGUUUUGGUACUUUCUGUGAGGAGGCUUCUGAGCUUGUCGGACCAUGUCCAGGUUCAGUGGCCGAUUCAAGUUCGCAUUUGGUCCCUUUACCAACAC